AUGCAUCCAUCUUCAUCACCCAUCGAGGGAUUUUAUUGCCCAUCUCCUUCUGGUGAUGGGAAGAAGGGCGGCUGCAUCUUCUUCUUCCCUAGCGCCGGCUACCUCAGCAAACACCACGGAUGGCAUCUCCACCACUUCCCCGACGGUGAGGCACCUGCCGUGGAGGUGGACUUGCAGGCGCUCCUCCACGCCAACGACGGCGAUCUGUCCCGCUCCCACCUCAACCACGUGAGGCGUCAUCGGCAUCCGGCCGUAAGGCGAAGACGACCCGUCGCCGUUCGUAAGAAAAAGGCCAUGUUGAGAACCACAUGGUCACCACUCGAGGCAUUCAACUCUCGGCAGCACCCGUAUACCACUCCAACUGGUAUCGUUUCAACGGGUUCCUGUUCUUCUAAAUCAAAGAUAAUAAGGCCAGCCAGACAUAAGAAAGUUUCUACAAGGAGAUGUGUGCGGUAUGGAUGGCUAGGUGGUCGUAAGGAUGGUCUUGGUAAACAAUUGUCUGAUGAUCUUGAAUCUUUGUUUUCUCAUGUCAACAAGGUAGAUGAUGAAUAUUCAAAAUGGCUGUGA
rnacentral:rRNA from 1 species